UUUUGAGCGGCGGUGUUAAGGUGUGUUAUUGUGUGGUCUUGAGACCAGACCAGUGUUAAGGUGUGGUCUUGAGACCAGACCAGUGUUAAGGUGUGUUAUUGUGUGUCUUGAGACCAGACCAGUGUUAAGAGGUUGUGGUACUGGAAUAAUUGUGCAGAAUGCGAGCCGGGUGUGUCAUCUGUGGGGAUCUCUUCAUAGCAACCACUGAUGUUUCUGCUGCUCCAUGUGGCCACACUUUCCACUCUGCCUGUAUCAUCCAGUGGAUUGAAAGGUCAAAAUCUUGUCCGCAAUGCCGCCGGAAAGCAACUGACAAAAGCUUGGUGAAGCUUUUUUUUGAUACUGGUGGGCUGGAUACUUCACAAUUAGACCCAGACAUCUUGCAGCACCAAAUUGAUAACUUGAAGUUCCAGGUUAAGCUUAAGGAGCAGGAAAUAAAGACUUUGGAAACAACAGUUCCAAAUUAACAAAACAAAACAAAAGUCUUAGAGAAGAAUAUAAGAGUGUUGAAAGUCAAGUACAUGUGAAAGAGACACGAUAUUGGCUCUUAAGACGCAGCUACAAUUUAUGGGUCGUAUCAAAUAAAGAAGCGCAGAAAGCUAAGGAAGAAGCAAAGAGUUUA